UACGGGAAGGCAGCAGUGGGGAAUAUUGCACAAUGGGCGCAAGCCUGAUGCAGCCAUGCCGCGUGUAUGAAGAAGGCCUUCGGGUUGUAAAGUACUUUCAGUCGUGAGGAAGGUGUUAAGGUUAAUAACCUUAGCAAUUGACGUUAGCGACAGAAGAAGCACCGGCUAACUCCGUGCCAGCAGCCGCGGUAAUACGGAGGGUGCGAGCGUUAAUCGGAAUUACUGGGCGUAAAGGGCACGCAGGCGGUUAAUUAAAUUGGAUGUGAAAUCCCCGGGCUUAACCUGGGAAUGGCAUUCAAGACUGGUUAGCUAGAGUCUUGUAGAGGGGGUAGAAUUCCAUGUGUAGCGGUGAAAUGCGUAGAGAUGUGGAGGAAUACCGGUGGCGAAGGCGGCCCCUGGGACAAAGACUGACGCUCAUGUGCGAAAGCGUGGGGAGCAAACAGGAUUAGAUACC
rnacentral:rRNA from 1 species